GAUGCCCCUUAGGUUGCGGGCAACCAGAGGCCUCACUCGUGGGCAGGAAGCAAGGGCGGACCCCGAGAGAUGACUGAUUGUGGGGGUGGGGACCGUCUGCUCCUCCUAAUGGCUGGGGACCGUGCACGUCUGCGCGGGCCGGACCUGCUCUUCUCGGGAACUUGCGCGGGAGGAGGCCCGGAGCUGCGCCGCUUUACCCUCUGCUCCCCGGUGCCUAAAACGCACACGCAUCAAAGUCACAGGACGAGUUAGAGGAGAAAGGCAGAGGGAGAUUUGAAACACAGAGGAGGUGAUGAGAAGACACAGCAGAAGAUAUCUGAAGACUGGAAAGAAUGCUGCAACCAACAGGAGAAGGAAAAGACAGAAAUGUGUUUUCCAUUUGGAGCAUCCAGAGGGAGCACAACCAUAUCAACACCUUGAUUUUGAUCCAGUGACAUUGAUUUUGGACUUGUGGCCUCCAGAACUUUUAGAGAAUAAAUUUGCAUUGUUUUAAGCCAACAGGUUGGUGGAAAUUUUUUACAGCAGCCACAGGAAGCAAACACAGACUCCUAACUGGUGCUUAGUCCUAGAAUAUCAGUUUCUGUUCCACUUCUGGAUCUCAUAAUUGCAUCUCAGACAUCAACACUGACUUCAUAUUCUUAAUGCACCAAUUCUACCAUUUCUUCAGGCUGCAAACAGAGAAAAACUUAUUUAAGCAUUCCAGAAUUGACCCAAUAGAAGACUCUCCAGAAAAGACUGCAUGGUCUCUGAAGCAGCAUGAUCAGCAUGACUGGCUGCAUCUGGGCUCCACCGUUUGCCACUUCAGACAGGUCCUUAGCCUCUUAGAGGUUCAUUUUCCUUGCUGUAGCCCGGAGUAAGAAUGUUUAGCCUACAAGAUUUAUUUUGAGGCAUCAAUGAAUCACUAUGUGAGCCUCACACAGUGUCUGGCACUGAUAUUACAAAAUAUGGUUGAUCUUGCCAUCCUUGUUAUUGUCCUGGUGGGGAUUCCUCUCUGUUGAAGAUACGGAGCCUCUAAAAAUGAGUGGCAGAGGCUCCCAGCUCAGGAUCCUUGUCCAGGUCCUAAAGAUCCUCCACUCUGCUUGUCACUCUGUUCAUUAUGUUUGCAUGGCCACCACGGUCAACACUACUGCGGCCUACCUCAAGUUCUCAUGCCUCACUCUCUGAGCUCAUGAGGACACAAGGAUCCUUUGGCAACACAUUAACUACACUCUGUGGCCAUCCCUUGACUUCUGAGAGGAUGUUUCCCUCCUCUCAAUCAAAAGCUCUCUUCCCUCCUGGGCAAGAUCCUUGCAUGCACCCAGCACCCUCACACCUGGUGCCCUCACACCCAGCACUCUCACACGUGGUGCCCUCACACCCAGCACCCUCACACCCAGCACCCUCACACCUGGUGCCCUCACACCCAGCACCCUCACACCUGGUGCCCUCACACCCAGCACCCUCACACCUGGUGCCCUCGCACCCAGCACCCUCACACCUGGUGCCCUCGCACCCAGCACCCUCACACCUGGUGCCCUCGCAACCAGCACCCUCACACCUGGUGCCCUCACACCCAGUGCCCUCACACCCAGCACUCUCACACUUGCACUGUCCUCAUCCCAACUCUGUGGUUCCUCUGGGGAAUCACUGUGGAAUCCCUCAUGGGAGGAUGUUUUCAAAAGAAACAACAGCCCAAUGAAGGGUAUUUGAGGAUGAGAAGCAGGAAAGAAGUCAGUGGGUGGCUGAGUUGUGUCCAGGUUUUGCGUGGCCAUGGAAAAUCAGGUGAAGGACAUUAAAUAUCUUGCAGUGGCUUCUCCAUUAGGAGCAUGAAAUGAGGAAAGGGGCUGUCCUCACAGGCCAGCCAAGAGGGAUGCCUAUGCCAAACAGAAAGACUGACAGUAAACAGAAUCCAGGAUGACAUGACUGAGGUAUGGUGUGCAGGGCAUGGCCCAGGGAGGAGGGUAGAUAAGUAAGCCUGGGUGCACCUUCAGAGGAAGAAAUAACAGAGGCUGCAGGCGAGAGAGUUACAAGGAAGGAGGAGCAGGAAGACACGAGAAAAAUUCAGAUAAACUCAACAUCUCCAGCCUGGGGGAAACGUGAGAGGGUGGUAUGAAGAUACACACGAUGCAUGUUGCUUAGUGAAAGCAGCCAGUCGGAAAAGGCUACGUAGUGAAUGACCCCAACUAUGACAUUCUGAAAAAGGCAAAACUAUGGAGACAGGAUAAAGAUCAGUGGUUGCCAGUGAGGCAGGAGAAUAGGGUCUGGGGGCAGGGAGCCUAAGGCUGAUUCAUGCUGACUUCAUGAACGGAAUCAAAAGGAAAACCCUAAAUUUCCAUGCCCACGUAACAAAAGGAUCAGAGGCUACUCCCUUUGCAACUCCCCCCAACUUUCUGUGUUGCAGAUGAAAAAUGGAAAGUGCCUCGGAUUGGUCCCCUCCUGCAACCAGUCAGACAUCUGCAUAGAGCGUAACUUUGUAACUUCACUUCAGCCUCUGCUUGGUCACCUUCCACAACCAAUCAGACUGGUCAUGGGCCACUAUUUCAUAGGGUGUAAACCAAGUGACCAAUGGGAAACAUCUAGAGGGUAUUUAAACCCCAGAAAAUUCUGCGACCAGUGCUUUUGAGCCUUGCUUGGGCCUGCUCCCACUCUGUGAAGUGCAUUUUUGUUUCAAUACAGCUAUGCUUUUGUUGCUUC
rnacentral:lncRNA from 1 species